rnacentral:rRNA from 1 species
UACAGAGGUCUCAAGCGUUGGUCGGAUUCAUUGGGCGUAAAGGGUGCGUAGGCGGCGCGGUAAGUCGGGUGUGAAAUCUUGGAGCUUAACUCCGAAACUGCAUUCGAUACUGCCAUGCUUGAGGACUGGAGAGGAGACUGGAAUUUACGGUGUAGCGGUGAAAUGCGUAGAUAUCGUAAGGAAGACCAGUGGCGAAGGCGGGUCUCUGGACAGUUCCUGACGCUGAGGCACGAAGGCCAGGGGAGCAAACGGG